rnacentral:rRNA from 1 species
UACAUGGGGUGCAAACGUUGCUCGGAAUUAUUGGGCGUAAAGCGCACGUAGGUGGUCUCUUAAGUCGGAUGUGAAAUCCCUCGGCUCAACUGAGGACGUGCAUCCGAAACUGAGAGGCUAGAGUAUGGUAGAGGGUCGCGGAAUUCCCGGUGUAGAGGUGAAAUUCGUAGAUAUCGGGAGGAACACCAGUGGCGAAAGCGGCCACCUGGACUGCACCUGACGCUGACACGCGAAAGCUAGGGGAGCGAACGGG